rnacentral:rRNA from 1 species
ACGCUCGACACCUACGAGAGGCAGCAGUGGGGAAUAUUGCACAAUGGGGGAAACCCUGAUGCAGCGACGCCGCGUGAGCGAAGAAGUAUUUCGGUAUGUAAAGCUCUAUCAGCAGGGAAGAAACUGACGGUACCUGACUAAGAAGCACCGGCUAAAUACGUGCCGGCAGCCGCGGUAAUCUGAGCGGGCUGGCAAGGC